rnacentral:lncRNA from 1 species
UUAUCCACUCAGGGUCGGGGGGACACGUGUAGCGAGUUUGAUUGACAACGUCAGUGGGCGUUUACUAACUUGGUUAAUUUGGGUAACAUCCUUCUUUCUAUUUACAAGUUCACUUACUGGCACCAAAUCUUGGUUGACAAAUUCAAUUCAAUUUAUUAAAGAUGUUUCUGGCCAAAAGACUCAUUGGUGGCAUUCUUGAUGUUGUAAGGUAAGGAUCUGGCUAUAGUACUAAGGACCUCUUCUAAAUCAUUUGCACUUAUUAUGUAUAAACAAUGUUUAUACAUAAUGUAGUUAGUAGUGUUUUCUGGGCUUUGCCAAAUGGGAAGGGGGUUGAGGCUUUUUAGGUUGUGUGGGUGCAAGUGGAAUGAAAGUUGUCUAAUCUUAGAACCAAUUUAAGCAGUGCCAAAGUCCUAUCAUUGCAUAGACUUUCAGGUAUGGAUAAUAUAUUCUCACUGUGAUGUUUUAAUUAGUUUGGAAUCAAGAGAGAAUACAAGGUGUUAAUUGUUUAAGCUAAGUUGGACAGGAGCAUGAUUCUUCAGCUAGUAGUCACUGCAGCUAUUACCACUGACCAAGUCAAUCAAUGCCUCUAUAUCUCUGCAUAACUAUCACUCUUAGGAAUGCUACCCAGUGACUAACCUAUUCAUCUCCCCUGUGUCCCCUUCAGCAAUAUUGAUCCAGCUUCUUUUGUGCCCUCUGACCCAUUGAGUGGCAUUGCUAUUUCAUAAUUUAUCACCAGAAUACACAGUUGUUAUGGAUAAUAGUAACCUGAACAAUAAAUUCCUAAUUUCCUAACGUUGUUAUCCUGCAGCCUGCACCACGAAGGCCACUUGCGUAUGCAGAGCAGAGUGAGAGUGACGAGGAAAGACAGUUUCGCAAAGUCUUUCAGCAGUUGGCUGGAGAUGUGAGUACGAUAUUUCCUUGCUACUACUCCCUCACCAUAUUCCUAUUUUGGUUUAACUUCAUAUUACCUCUGUAAAAGUAAACACCUUGUGGCAACCAUACACCUUGCCAUUAAAAAGGCACCGUGACUGCUGAAAUGCCUUUGGUGCAGGAUGAUCUUCAUUUAAUGGCUCAAAUUCACUACUGAAUACUGUGAAUAGAUGCACUAUGCAUGCUAUGCUUCAAUGUUGGGAAUAAUUCAA